UGGGGAAUAUUUGGGCAAUGGAGUGAAACUCUGACCCAGCGACGCCGCGUGCGGGAUGAAGGCCUUCGGGUUGUAAACCUGCUUUCAGCAGGGAAGAAGCGAAAGUGACGGUACCUGCAGAAGAAGCACCGGCUAACUAUGUGCCAGCAGCCGCGGUAAUA
rnacentral:rRNA from 1 species